UAAAUCCGACUGGGGUGCCCGUACGGCUGAGAUCAAACCCAUUGAACCUGCUCUGGACAAUUCCAGCGAAGGGACGGUGACUUAUCAAGCAA
rnacentral:ncRNA from 2 species